rnacentral:rRNA from 1 species
UACGGAGGGUGCGAGCGUUGUUCGGAAUUACUGGGCGUAAAGGGCGUGUAGGCGGUUUGGCAAGUCAGAUGUGAAAGCCUGGGCUCAACCCCAGAAGUGCAUUUGAAACUGUCAAACUAGAGUAUGGGAGAGGAGAGUGGAAUUCCCGGUGUAGAGGUGAAAUUCGUAGAUAUCGGGAGGAACAUCCGUGGCGAAGGCGGCUCUCUGGACCAAUACUGACGCUGAGACGCGAAAGCGUGGGGAGCAAACAGG